rnacentral:rRNA from 1 species
CCUACGGGAGGCAGCAGUAGGGAAUAUUGCUCAAUGGGGGAAACCCUGAAGCAGCAACGCCGCGUGGAGGAUGAAUGUUUUAGGAUUGUAAACUCCUUUUGUUAGAGAAGUUUAUGACGGUAUCUAACGAAUAAGCAACGGCUAACUCCGUGCCAGCAGCCGCGGUAAUACGGAGGGUGCAAGCGUUACUCGGAAUCACUGGGCGUAAAGAGUGCGUAGGCGGGGUAAUAAGUCAGAUGUGAAAUCCUGUAGCUUAACUACAGAACUGCAUUUGAAACUGUUACUCUGGAGUGUGGGAGAGGUAGGUGGAAUUCUUGGUGUAGGGGUAAAAUGCGUAGAGAUCAAGAGGAAUACUCAUUGCGAAGGCGACCUGCUGGAACAUUACUGACGCUGAUGCACGAAAGCGUGGGGAGCAAACAGGAUUAGAUACCCGAGUAGUC